AUUGAACGCUGGCGGCAGGCCUAACACAUGCAAGUCGAGCGGAGCGGCGGACGGGUGAGUAAUGCCUAGGAAUCUGCCUGGUAGUGGGGGAUAACGUCCGGAAACGGGCGCUAAUACCGCAUACUAUCAGAUGAGCCUAGGUCGGAUUAGCUAGUUGGUGAGGUAACGGCUCACCUAGGCGACGAUCCCUCGCUGGUCUGAGAGGAUGAUCAGCCACACUGGGACUGAGACACGGCCCAGACUCCUACGGGAGGCAGCAGUGGGGAAUAUUGCACAAUGGGCGCAAGCCUGAUGCAGCCAUGCCGCGUGUAUGAAGAAGGCCUUCGGGUUGUAAAGCACUUUAGGUUGGGAGGCGUUACCAACAGAAUAAGCACCGGCUAACUUCGUGCCGGCAGCCGCGGUAAUUC
rnacentral:rRNA from 1 species